ACGGCCUACGGGGGGCAGCAGUGGGGAAUAUUGGGCAAUGGACGCAAGUCUGACCCAGCAACGCCGCGUGGAGGAAGAAGGCUUUCGGGUUGUAAACUUCUUUUAAGGGGGAAGAGUAGAAGACGGUACCCCUUGAAUAAGCCACGGCUAACUACGUGCCAGCAGCCGCGGUAAUACGUAGGUGGCAAGCGUUGUCCGGAUUUACUGGGUGUAAAGGGCGUGCAGCCGGAGAGACAAGUCAGAUGUGAAAUCCACGGGCUCAACCCGUGAACUGCAUUUGAAACUGUUGAACUUGAGUGCAGAAG
rnacentral:rRNA from 1 species